rnacentral:rRNA from 1 species
UACGUAGGGUCCAAGCGUUAUCCGGAAUCACUGGGCGUAAAGCGUGCGUAGGUGGCGUGUUAAGUGUGAUAUUAAAUCGUGUGGCUCAACCAUAUCGAUGUGUCGCAUACUGGCAUGCUAGAGGACAGCAGAGGCAAGUGGAAUUUGUAGUGUAGCAGUGAAAUGCGUAGAUAUUACAAGGAACACCAAUGGCGAAGGCAGCUUGCUGGGCUACUCCUGACACUGAGGUACGAAAGCGUGGGGAGCGAACAGG